GGAUGGGAGGGCAAUCUGGGUGCAACAUCUGUCACCUCAUUGAUCACCAGGGUUAAUUCAGCUGAUCUAACUGGCUAGGCAGGUGUCCCCUUUCCCCGUCACGGCUCCGUGUGUGUCCCUUCCGAAGCUGUGUGCCUGGUGGAAGAGGACGACCACCCUCGAUAGAGGAGGACCAUUUCCACGGUGAAGGGCAUAUGAGUGGCCAUGCUCCCCUGCUAGAGCCUCCAAGUAGGCUCUCAAAAUAGGAAAAGGGAUAGGGAUGUAGCUCAGUUCAAACGCCCUGGGUUCAAUCCCA
rfam:Heterocephalus glaber contig99910, whole genome shotgun sequence.